CAGAAUACAUUUUACUGGUGAAAUACUUAAUAUUUGGAGAAACCGAAUUUCAAGUAGAAUGUUAGCAAUAAGAAUAUUUCUUAGUAAUAGCACAAUCUUCUCUUUACAUGUCUAGACUGAACGUAAUUUACCAAAUUUUGUGACAACUUAUGAAAAGGAUCCUUUUGGAUUAAAAUUUAAGUCACAACACUUAAGUACGGUAAGUGGAUGCCCAUUGCUGAAAAAUGGUCAACAGAACAGUACAGAAAGAUUUAUCACCUACAAGCCUCGUGAAUGCACCUGGGAUUCAAAGCUAAUUUUACCAAAAGCCCCUUGGCCCGUUAAAUCUGCUUCAUACACAGAGAGAAACUGGGUAGACACGGAAGAGGUGAAAUCUAAGAGUAAAAGGACUACCAGUCAGAUUGCC
rnacentral:lncRNA from 1 species